AUAGCAACCUGUUAUAGCUGCCAGGGCCAUUGUCUCUGUAGCACAGAAGGUCUAUUGCAGGUGCCUAGAGUUGCAACAACAUAAUAAUGCAUUUUGUCUUUCAAAGGGUAAAGACCUAGGAUUGAAAGUGGUUGACUGGGGAGACCAAUGAAGACUUCUGGCUAGUGAAAAGAUAGUCAUGCUGGUAAGUAUAAGAAGAAACCAUUGGAAAUAUUAUUUCUGGAUUGGCUGCUACACAUAUAAGUUGGUAUUGAGCCCAAGAGGACUCCCUAAUAUCACCCUGGAAACUCAGCCUUCUGUGUUCCACCCAGACAAGAAGCAGAAAAUUGUGUCCAGCUGAAGAGCAAG
rnacentral:lncRNA from 1 species